CUCCAUCUCAAAAAAAAAAAAAAAGAAGAAAAAAAAAAAGAAAAUAUAUGGUAAACUGUUAACUAUAGUCACCCUACUGUGCCAUAGAACACUAGAAAUUAUCCUUCCUAUCUAGCUAUAAUUUUCUGUUAAUCAAUUUCUGCUGUCCCUACUCUGCAACCACCAUCCACCCUUCCCAGCCUCUAAUAACCGCUAUUUAUACUCUACUUCUGUGAAGUCAACUUCUUUAGCUUCCGCAUAUGGUGAGAACAUGUAGUAUUUGUCUUUCUGUGCCUGACUUAUUUCACUGAACGUUAUAUCCUCUAGGCUCACCCAUGUUACCUCAGAUGACAGAAUUUUGUUUCUGUGGCUGCUUUGAGUAGAAAGCUGUUAACACACGCCCUUCUAGCUCUGGGAUUUUUAGCUUUUCCAGCAGCAAAAGCAAAGACACAUGAGACUGAAGAACUAAGAGGGCAGAUCCAGACCCAUUCAGCUCACCAUUGUCUACCCAGCAUUUAGCAUGGUGCCCACUCCACGUAGGCAUCCAAUAGGUAAAUGUUGAACCAGUGAAGAAAUGCCUGAUUCACAAGAUGCAGCUGACAUUUCAAUUCUCAUGGAAUUUGGUCACUGGUUCAAUGAGGACAAGCCUCCACUGGGCUAACGUGAGCCUGAGAAAAUUCAGAGAGGCUGGACACAGCAUAACCUGCAGCCAGCAAUCUGGUAUUGCUUGUACCGCAGAGCUUAGCAUCCAACAGUUCUUAACAAUUUCAUAUGGGUUAGUUUCUUCAGCUGGCUUAUAAAAUGUCUUUCCCCAAUCACUCCUGCGGAUGCCCAAUCCAUUCUACAGAUACAGUCAGGGAGAUCUUUGAAAGACAUGAACCGGAUCAUGUCACUCUCUCCUGAGACCGCCAAUGGCUUCCCACCUUUCUUCACUUGAAAUCCAACGUUUUUACUCAGGAAUUCAGGCUUUGUGUGAUCUGGCUCCUUGGCACUCCUGAUCUCAUUUCCCCCACUCUCCACCUCAUUCUCAUGCCCCCAGUCACUCUGACCACCUCUCUCUUUCCCAAAUACAUGCAACACAGUCCCACUUCUGAGCCUGUGUGGUCCAUGGUCCUUCUGCCUGGGACUGUGUUUCUGGCUCUCUGUGUAGCAAGUAUCUCUUCAUUAUGCACAUCUCAGUUUAAAUCUCCCCGCAGAGAGGCCAGGCCUGCACGGUGCACCUGAAUGUGCCUCCCAUGCCCCGGCCCCAUCACCCUCCUCUGAGCUGUCAUCACUAUCUGAAAUGACCAUGCCUAGCCAUGUAUAUAAGAUGCCUUUCUCUGUAGAUUGUAAGUUACGUGAGGGCCGGGAUCCACCUGUCUGGUUGACACUUCUGUCUUCCUGGAAUAGCGUCUGGCACAUAGUAUGUGCUCAAUAAUUGUGAAACUCUACUGGGCUCUCACUUCUCCUGGUCUGGACCAUGUUCAAUACUUCUCUCCAUGCCUUCUAGCCCCCAGCAUGAGACUGGAUAUAGUAUAGGUGUGAAACCGAAACUGCUGGUCGAACCCCAUCCUGGUGACCAACAGACCUGAUCUGGACCAGGCCUGACUGCCAGUCAUGGUGUAGUCCAGGGUCCUCCAGGCCAUCUUUGUGGUGGCCGUCCUAGGCUCACAGACAUGGUCCAUCCAAUGGAAUUAACCAUGGGCUCUGAAUCCUUAGCACUAGAAUGACUGACUUGAACCAAACAAGGCCUAGGGGCCCACAGGAACAUGAACAUGAACAUGAGCAUGAACAUGAACAUGCCUCCACUUCCUUUUGGGCCCCACCCCUGAAAUUGCAGUUCCCUCCCACUCAGCUUCCACCUUCUGAGAAGUGAACGCCACAUCACACCCGCAGCCUCUCCCUCUUGAGAGGCUGAGCUGCUUAAGCAGAAACCAUGUCUGUGAGCCCAGGAUUGCCAAGGUCAAGAAAAUCAAUCCACAGGCACUUCCUCUGCUUAGGGGUUGACGUCAGGUAAGCAACUUGAGAACAUGUUAGGGCAAUCCUGGGGCUUCGUGGUUCGGGAGCCUUUUCUGUACAUUCCAAUCCCCAGUACGUAAGAAGCACAUUUCUGCUUCAGUGAACACUCUGAAGCCUGUACCACACCCGAGCCCAUGGCAGGUGGAAAUGGUUUGUUUGAGAGAUGCAGAGCAUGUUAUUCCAGGCCAAUGGAUUUUAAGAACAUGGCCUUAGCUUCCAGCCUAGCAGCAGAGACUUCUAAGGGACAGGCCAUGAGUCAUAGUUGUUCUUCAUUCAUGGAAUGCUUGGAAUGAAGUGGACUGUUGCAUGCCAGAGUGGUCAAGGACUUAAGUCAGAGGCUCUGCAAGCAAUUCAGGUGGUAGAGAGAAGGCAGAUGCCAUAAACCUUGCCCUUCUCCUUCACUCAGUUCUUGCUCCCCACCUUUCCAUUAGAUGUCUGAGCCUAACUUGCUCAGUGGAUGGGCAUUUGUUUGAGCAUCUGAUUCUUUUCCAGCUCUGCAUGAAGCUGUUGCUUUCUGAUCCUUCUUUCUCUGGACUAAAGGCACCCAAUGAGAAUAUUUUACAUUUGAAAAGAAAUUAUAAGUCUAUAUACCUCCGCCAAUCACUGUGUUUUAAUUCUGCCUCCUUUUUUCCUCCAAUAAAGAUAUAAACAUAGACAUGCAAACACAAACGUAUCAAGUACUUCCUACUGUAAUUUCUUGUUUAAAGGUAUCCUCGUUUUAAAACAAGUAUGGUGGCUGAUCAAGACUAACAGUCUAUGAAAAUCUCUCCCUGACUUCAUUUUAAAGUGAAAACUUCCAGGAGAAGAAAACAAUUAUGAUAAAUAAACACAAAAGCACAAAAAUAUUCAAACUCUCAUUUUGAUCAGAACUGUGUGAAACGUGAAAGGAAAUAGACCCAUAUCAAACAGCUAGUCCACCUUAGACCCUUCAGAUGAAUAUCAUUUAUGUUACACUAUGAGCUCAAUGGCUGGGCUCUACACUGUUGUCACCUAAUGUGUACAGAAAAAUAGAGUAGAUGCUCAAUAACAUUUGUUGAAGGAGUUUCAGUCAUGUGAGAUUGAACCCCUAGUUAAUAAAACAAAGGCAUUUUUUUUGGUAAAUUUUAUUUUGGUCCUUUGGAUGAUCCCAAACAAGCAAACUUAUUUCAGUGGAAGAAAAGGCAAUGCUCUCAAGACCUCUGGGCCCGCCACAUUGUUAAACUGGCCAAAGCUGGAACCAUUCACUAUAGAAUCUCACAGGUCAAGGGACCUUGGAAAUAUUCAUAGCCAAGCCUCUUCUGCAGGUCCUGUUCACAGCCACCCACUCCCCACGAGAUCCACUCUUUUCACUUUGUUUCCUAGGGGGAAGAGGCUCAAAUUGCAUUCUUAACUGAUGUAGUACCAUUAAUUGCCUAGUUUUUCCAAUCUAGAAGCUUUAAUGGCUCAAAAAUUGCUUUUCUCAGAUGAGUCUACUACAUGAACACUUUCAGGAGAUGUUAACAGGUGUUAUGAACAAAGAAAAUGUUCCAGAAUUAAGGGAAACAUUGGAUUAAACAGAUAAAACUUAAAUAGAUUUCUGCAUUGCAGGCCUUCUCAGAGCCUUUAAUAUACUAAUAUGCACAUGAAUUCCCCAGAGGAAGGCUAUAGUAAUGUUUCCCCCUCAAAUACAAGGGAUUUUCUCUUCUCCAGGAAUAGGUCUGGAGUUAAUGUUCCAUGGAACACACUUUGAGACACAGUAGUCUACAUAUUCUAUCAAGUGUCAAGUUGUCUCUUAGACCCUGACCUAGAGCUUCCAUCUUUAACCCACGUGCAUUUGGGGGAAGCUAUUUGAAACAUUUAGGACAAAUGAAGGUUUAAAGGGACAGCAGCCAUUGAACCUGAGGCCUUAGAGCUAGAACUAGAAGACUGAGACAUUAGGCUGUAAUGGACUUCACUUGCAGGAAGAAACAGAGCAAUGACUGAAUUUUCCCAUUGCCGCAGAGAGAAACUUUUAGUAGAGGAUUGCUGGUUCAUAUCUGAAUCCCACGAGCCCGGCUGGUCAAUCUGUUUGUAAAGUUGGGCACAUCACCUCAACUUACCCAGGUUGCCCCACUAGGUGCACGUCGCGUAUCUAUCACCUGCAAUGUAGUUUGUCUACUUUGAUUUUUUUUUUUCCCAUGCCUUUUUUUCCCCAUGUAUGAGGUCAUUGCCUUCUUUAGCUGAGACCAAGGGCAGCCUGCCACAACCUCAUGCUCUUUCUUGAUUGUAAUAAGCUCUGCUUUCUCUCCUCUGUUUUUUUUUUUCUCGUAGCCUCAUUAGGAGCAGAGUGGUGAGUCAGUGAGGCUCUGAUUUGUUCCGUGGCAGCCUGUUAGGACCAGGUACCCGACCAAGGACUUGUGGAAACACAGGGACCUUGGCACAGGAAGGCACUGACCUCUGUUCUUGAGGGGCUGAUAUCCUCAAGCUAAGGACACCCUAGGUCCUCAUUGCGGGUGGUACAGGCUGAGUGAUGGCGCCUCCCUCCCACCCUGGAAACCCACACUCUCUGGGACUCUGGUCAGGUCUGGCCAGAGAACCGUCACAGUCCUGAUCACCCCCUCCCUGCUCCCUGUCACUUCCCCAGGAAGCAGAUUGACUCAGAAGAAAAGGGAGGCGGUAGCAAAGGUGUUCUCCUGGCUCCGCCGCUCAAGAGCACGCUGCCCCCUUGUGGCCAGCUUCAUUCUAGUUGUUUUCCCAGGUAAAUUCUGAGCUACUAGCCACUUACUUUGAAGCCUACAGGAACGAGAACUUUAUUAGGAAAGAAAGAAACUUGAGAAUAUCUACACGCAACCGCUCGCCUGACACACCCUGAGCUUCUCCACUUCUGUGUUCGGGAUGCCCUUUCUCACCCUUUCCUCUUGUCGAAUUGCUAAUCUUUCAAGACAUGGCUGAUAGUGAUUGUGUCUUGUUUAUGCCCUCUUGAAGUGUGCAGUGGGUUUCAGAGGUUUUCUGUGCAGAUGUGUACAUAUAUGUAAAGGCAGUCGUGUGACUACAACAUGAAUAAACACAUAAAGACAGUAAACAGAGACGCAGGAACACCACGUGUACACGUAUACAUGCAAGCAGGGAGGUGAAGAUUCAGGGAUUUGGUGCUUUUCUGGUGCAUUUCCUGUUGGAUUUGCUGACCCAGGAGUCUGAUAAGAACCCUGGUUUACUUUCUCUGCACAAUCAAAAAAAAAA